rnacentral:rRNA from 1 species
UACGAAGGGGGCUAGCGUUGUUCGGAAUUACUGGGCGUAAAGCGUGCGCAGGCGGUUUUGUAAGACAGAGGGGAAAUCCCCGGGCUCAACCUGGGAACUGCCUUUGUGACUGCAAGGCUUGAGUGCGGCAGAGGGGGAUGGAAUUCCGCGUGUAGCAGUGAAAUGCGUAGAUAUGCGGAGGAACACCGAUGGCGAAGGCAAUCCCCUGGGCCUGCACUGACGCUCAUGCACGAAAGCGUGGGGAGCAAACAGG